CUCCAACAACACUAAACUUCAUCUCUACACAUCAUGUUCUGUUAAUGUCAAAAGCACCACCACCAGAGCUCUUUCUCCACCGUGUCAGAGGCAGAUUAGUUGGCCGAAAUUAAGCAAUAACACCACUGAUAUAUUCCUCUCAACCUCCUAUAUCAUAAUCUCUCAUCAACUUUUUUCAAAGAUUAACCAAUUCUUUAAAUUGAAGUAAGAAAGCUAUGAACCCUAACCAUGAAAAUUGAAAUUAUAUGGAGGUGGAGAAGAACCAAGCCACAAAACCUUAGGGCUUUGAUUCUCCAAUGCUAGAGUUACAUUAUGGUAUCAAAAAUUAAGCAAACAAGAAGGAAUAAAAAUUUAACGACCUACAAGGUGAAGGAUUGUCUUGGAAUUUUCCGAAAUUUGAAGGUGAUGAAGAUGAAUAAAAACAGAUACUUCAAGAUAUAAAAGGAUUCCCCAUGAUUGGCAUUUAGAAUUCUACUUAUUCUAGUUUUCAACUGAGAAGGGCUAUAACUCUUCGGUCAAGUAGCUGGCCAAACAAAGAAUUAGCAUAAUGCAUGGGAGGUACGUUGAUGUGACGAGGGAGAAGCAAAGUUUAGAUAUGAGCUCGGUUGAUGAAGGACAACCUGAUCGAAAAUGAACUGCUUUGCCUAGGUUAAUAUUACUUACUUCAAUUUUCAAAUUCAAUUGUUUCUACUAUUUUUAGAUGUUAGAGUAAUUAGUUUUUUUUUAUAGAUUCAGCUUAAUUUCAUUGUUUGUGUUGAAUCAAAAUGUUACUGACUUACUCUUUUUGCAUGGAAGCUAUGAUGUUGUGAUUGCAAAACAAACAAUUGUAUCCUUUUACCACCCUUACUUUUUGCAUUUUGGAACUUUGGAUGUUUUUGUCGAUGAUGGUUAUUAUUUUAUGAAUAUUUCUUUCCUUAAAUUCUAUAAAUCUGUAUUAUUUGUACAAUCGCCACUAGACUGUUCCUGAUGAAGAAUGGAGAAAAAUACUAGAGGACUUUACAACUAUAUUUAGUAUAAGCAAACACUCUUUACUUGAGUCUUUGACUUUUUACCUUCUUGAUGAUCAUUCAGAUGAAUAACAUCAAUUUAACUUCAAUAUAAUAUGUGUGAAUAUUUGAUUUUC